UCACCUCAGAGGAUCAAAUCCACAGUGAGUUUUGUUUUAGUAGACCGGUACAUUAGUCUCUCGGAGCCAUCCUUCCAAAUCUGGUCUCGUUGGCUACGCCUGGUAUCCACGGCUACAGUGUUGCAUACAUGUAAAUUGCAAGUACUGUAUUACAUUUCAAAAUAAUGCUUUCUGCCCGAACAUGUACUACUUUCCUAACAUGGUGGCCUCUUGCAGGUAUAAUCAAGAUAUACUGAGUAAUGCACAUUCAAUGGCUUUAAGUUCAUACGAGCAAUUGUCAAUCAAAUGUUUGCAGAAUAUGCAUCAUUAAAGCACCCCUAGGGACACUUAGCAAAGACGCCUGCAUUUCCUAUGAGUUCCAUAAUGUCCACGUCAGAAACAUGAAACUAAUUAAAUACAAACAAGUCUGUUACAAUAUGGCUAGGUAACUGAAAGAUGGUGGUUUCCUGGGCACACCAUUUAGACCGGAUUAAAUCCGAUCGCGGGUUAUAAGCAUUGCGUUUUUUAAAGGUCAUUUCCGAUUGAGCUGCCACACGUAGCGUUUACUGUGAAUGGGGUUCUCCACGGGCGUGGGGACAUUGCCUUUUAAAAACUGCAAUGCCUUGUAACCUGAUUAAAUCCCUGCCUCAGCCGUGGAUUAAAAAGCAAGGUCAAAGGAAAAUCUAUAUCAAAAAUACUGUUUUGUCCAGGACUAUUAAUCUUAAUUUGUGUCUGGGAAAGUUCAGGGGUACGUUUCCUAAAAACAUAAAAUAUCAUCUCAAGUCCAAGACAAUGAUCUGAAGGCUAAAGAUAAUCUUUGUUUUCUGGAGAAACUCACCCGCAGUUCAGUAGAAGCAUCGCUCAGAGUGAUAUUACCCACAACCUUUACAAGAUAUAAGGGGUACAUCACCAAAUAGCACCCUAUCCCCUAUAUCAGGGGUUCUCAAAGUGGGGUCUGUACUGCAGGGGGUCAGCAGCCAAACCAGGGGUUCUCAGAGUGGGGUCUGUACUGCAGAGGUUCAGCAGCCAAACCAGGUGUUCUCAGAGUGGGGUCUGUACUGCAGGGGGUCAGCAGCCAAACCAGGUGUUCUCAGAGUGGGGUCUGUACUGCAGGGGGUCA
rnacentral:lncRNA from 13 species